CACUCCUGCGGGAGGCAGCAGUGGGGAAUAUUGGACAAUGGGCGCAAGCCUGAUCCAGCCAUGCCGCGUGAGUGAUGAAGGCCCUAGGGUUGUAAAGCUCUUUCACCGGAGAAGAUAAUGACGGUAUCCGGAGAAGAAGCCCCGGCUAACUUCGUGCCAGCAGCCGCGGUAAUACGAAGGGGGCUAGCGUUGUUCGGAAUUACUGGGCGUAAAGCGCACGUAGGCGGAUCGAUCAGUCAGGGGUGAAAUCCCAGGGCUCAACCCUGGAACUGCCUUUGAUACUGUCGAUCUGGAGUAUGGAAGAGGUGAGUGGAAUUCCGAGUGUAGAGGUGAAAUUCGUAGAUAUUCGGAGGAACACCAGUGGCGAAGGCGGCUCACUGGUCCAUUACUGACGCUGAGGUGCGAAAGCGUGGGGAGCAAACAGGAUUAGAUACCCCUGUAGUCCCAUGA
rnacentral:rRNA from 1 species